UUAGAGAUGAGAUGUGCCACUGCUGCUGCUUUACUCUUGCUGUUUUGGAGCAUGGCGUCUGUCUGGCCAGGUCCAGGAAGAGCUGGGAAGAUGGACUGGCUUGCAGUACUGUCUGAAAGCUGCACAGACCUCUUUCCUAGCAAAAUGUUUUACGGAAUCUGCUCCCUUGAAACCAGUAUGAGGCAACAGCAGUGAUUGCAGCUAGUUGCAACAUCUCAUCUUGCUAGAUGGAGGCACAUCAUGUUACAAGUGGUGCUUCUAGCAAAACCUCUGUGAAGGAAACCUACUGACACCUGUCUAGCUGGGGGUUGUUAACUCAUCUGAGGUUGAGUUGGGAGAAGAAGGAAGACACCUUCAGGUCAAGGAAGCUAGCCUGGCGGAUGCCAGCUGAGGAUGUGGUCC